GUAUAGCAGUUGCUCCUCUAUCUUUUUCUUUUGUUUAUCAUACAGUUAAUGGAUUAUCUUAUAACUGCAAUUUUUCUUCUUCUUCUUCUACUUUUUUUUUAAAGAUUUUCUUCUGUUGAAAUAAGAACUUUACCUGAAUCUGUAUUUAGUAUUUCUUGGUUACUGUGUUUUCUUCCUUUGUUCGGUUAUAGUAUGUGAACAUACACACAUUUAUAUGGUAACUAUGCUUUUUCUUCCUUUGUUUGGUUUUAGCAUGCGUACAUACACACAUCUAUAUGGUACUGAUCAGAUUUUUUAAGCACGUUUAGGUCAGAAUUAAUCUGUUUUAUCACUAAAUCUACAAUGGUAUCUAUACUUGUAAAGUAACUUGGUUCAUUGAGCAGGUGGUAGUCAUCAUUUUGAUUGCCUUGUUCAUUACAAUUAUCAUUACCUGUGUCUUUAGAUCAUACCUUGCAUGAUUAGUACAGAUAUCAUUGCAUGAUUAUAUAUUUCUCCAAUGAAGGUAAUACUUGAUACAUAAGAGACGCUUCCCAAAACUGAACAUGAUAGACUGGAGAAAAAUGCUUAUGUUCAUUUUUGAACAAUGUAUAGUUAAAUUUCCAACCCUCAUUUGGGGAAAAAAAAAGAAAAAAAUCUUUUCCCUUCCUAUGGUGAUUAAUAGCACAUGCACCUGAUUGUUUGAUAAUCAAAUUCUUCUGCAAAUUUUCUUUAAUUUGUUAUAAUCUUCUAGGUGUGAUCGCAUCCUUUCUUAUG
rnacentral:misc_RNA from 1 species